rnacentral:rRNA from 1 species
AGUGAACGCUGGCGGUAGGCCUAACACAUGCAAGUCGAACGGCAGCACAGGAGAGCUUGCUCUCUGGGUGGCGAGUGGCGGACAGGUGAGGAAUACAUCGGAAUCUACUUUUUCGUGGGGGAUAACGUAGGGAAACUUACGCUAAUACCGCAUACGACCUACGGGUGAAAGCAGGGGAUCUUCGGACCUUGCGCGAUUGAAUGAGCCGAUGUCGGAUUAGCUAGUUGGCGGGGUAAAGGCCCACCAAGGCGACGAUCCGUAGCUGGUCUGAGAGGAUGAUCAGCCACACUGGAACUGAUACAAGGUCCAGACUCCUACGGGAGGCAGCAGUGGGUAAUAUUGUACAAUGGGCGCAAGACUGAUCCGACCAUACCGCGUGGGUGAAGAAGGCCUUCGGGUUGUAAAGCCCUUUUGUGGGGAAAGAAAUCCAGCUGGUUAAUACCCGGUUGGGAUGACCGUACCCAAAGUAUAAGCACCGGCUAACUUCGUGCCUGCCGCCGCGGUAA